rnacentral:tRNA from 1 species
GACCGCAUAGCUCAGUUGGAAGAGCAUUGGGCUAGUAUUCCAAAGGUCGUAGGUUCGAGUCGUGCCGUGGCCG